rnacentral:lncRNA from 1 species
GUUGAUUAGAGGUUCACAUCGACAACCAUUUAUUGGUGCCUAAGAGAGAAACAAAAAAGGAAUCAAUCCCUUGUUCAUUCCUUCAUCAGGCUUCGCCCACGACUGAAGCGCAAGACCUGAAGGAGGCAAACGGCAUUGUUACAACCACUGGUGUGCGCAGCAUCUGUGUGAGAGAAUUCUCCUUGGACCUGGGGCUCUGACCUAAUGGAAUUUACAGCUUAGAGGGUGAGAGCAGGUGUUCACAUCAAGCAAGCACCUCUGGACCACCUACCAUCCUCCUAGGUCUUGUCCUGGGCACCACGGGGACUCGGAGACAGGUAGGAUAUUAUCCCUGACCUCAAGAAGCUUAAAGUCUAUGAUGAUAAUAACUACAGACACUGAUGCUGGGCCGGGACUGCCAACUACAUGCACAGAGACUGUGCUCCAGGGAGUGCCAUUCACAUAAACUAGGAUAUGAAUGGCGUCUCCUGGAGUUGUGCAACGCAGCAGCCCCGUGUGAGGCACAGUCUCACUCUCCAUCUUGGUACACUGGACUUGAGCUAGCCCAGCAGAUGUUCCCUUGGCCAAACUGUGUCCAAGUCACAUCAAUUUGAUUCAAAAUAUUAUUAAAGUGUAUCUAUGAGCCAUAGUACCAA